GAGAACGAGGAUUACCAGUCAGGGUGAACGGGUUCAUGGAGCAGCGAGCUAAGGGCAUGAGUUUGGCUCCAUGUGCUUGUGCCAAAGGAAAUGACAUAAAAUGACAGGGAUGUCUGACGGUUUCCACAGAGAACUUUUUGUCUCCCUUGAUAAUAUUUGGUGAGUUCUCUUUGAAUAAAAUGGGACAAAAGACUUGACUUUGAAGACAUGUUUUAACACCAAGAGUCAGUUUGAAAAUAGCUUUGUUUUGAUGCUUGUCAGGUUAUCCUGUAUUUCCUGGACAGACAGAUAAAGAACAUAAAAUUGUCUUUUUCUUGUAAGGUUGGGGAAAGGGUUGAGAGAUAUCACAAUCGGUGCCAGCAGAGCCAACGUCAGGAGCAGUAAGCUGUGUCCACCACUCGCUCCAAAUGUCUUUUACACAUUGUGAAUUAUACAACAGCAUGUUAAUGGGUUGUGGUAUGAAACGGCAAGUUAAAAAUCUCUUUUAUUCCAAAAUUCUGAGGAAACUGGAAUGAAUAUUUGGAAGCUGAAUGUAUCAGUUGAUGAAAUAAUUACUCAUUUAAUGGAAGCCUUGUCUGCAGAUGCUUAUUUCAGUCACUUUUUUCAGCAAUAGUGCAAAGUAUUUUCUGGUUCGAGCUCCUAAAUUUUGAAUAAUUCAACUUCUUUUUGAGCCUACAAAUUAACAAACCAAUUAUCUUUUCAUAUUGGAAAACCAGUCCAAUAAAACAGUCUAUUUUGAAGAUUUCAGCCAGCUUUGGUUUUAGAAUAUUCUUCAGAAUUUAGUAAUUUUGUGGUAAAAUCAAAUGGGUGACUAACAAACUAAAAGUUUUAGGAAUAAAUCAUUAAAAAAUUCUUUGUUAGUCAUAAAAAAAAAAAAAUUCACAACAUCCGAUAUUCUUUGUUUGCCAAUUAUCAAUGUGAGAGUCAAAAAGGGAUAUAUGGAGGACGAUAUCUUGAUUUUAAAACAAGUUUGUGUUCAAGUAAAGUAAGAUAAUUGAAAUUAACUUUCAAGACAAUCUGAACUUUGAACCCAAGAGGUGGUAAAGCCAGUAAAUUUGUCAUUACAGCAGUUUUUAGAGAACAAGUACUGCCCACUGACGCCGACUCCACACUGAAAGUCUCUGAAAGCACCACAAGGUUUUGCCCUCAACACCCACCCGUCUGGCUGCUCCAGACACAAAGACAAAGACACAACUUUAAUUCGACAGAUCAGAUCGAAUCACUUUUGUCGACUGGAUUAACUUGACUAGUCUGCUAUGCUUUAUUACUUUAUGUAAUUACAGGAUGACCACUGGAUUCAAGCAGAUAUAACAGGUACAGCAAUGCUCCUCACAGGUCCUCUGAACUGCAUCAUGGGUAUUAAAAAUGAAGGAGGCAAAAGUCAGCAGACUAAAACUUUUAAAUCAUCAAAUAGUUUUGUGUUUGAUUGAGUCAGGACCUCAUGGCCAUGAUGUGAUAUUUUUGAGUGUUUGUGGAAAACACACACUGUUGUUCGAAUCAUAUCAUGCCCUUAUUUCACUUGUACUGACAUUAAUCAAUCAAUCAGAUUUAAUUUAUGAAGCACUUUUCAUACAAUGAUGAUGCAAUGCAAAGUGCUGUACAUGAUAAGAAAAGGGAAAAAAUAAUAGUAACAAAUUCAAAAUAAAUGAAUGAGUGAAAAAAAUGAAUAGAUUUAAAAAAUAUCUGAGGGAACACCAUCAGGUUGGCUAAAUGAGGAAACACUGGAGGUAUGAUAAAAUGUUAAAUGUGAGACAGAAGAGUAAGAGGAGAGGAACAUUAAAAUGGCAUAUCUCUCUAAUACGUGGAUCAAAGCGAAGGUCUGGAUCCCACUCAAUUCCCACUCCAAGAUUUUUGACCUGCUGACAUUAGUUGAAAAAAAGUGCUUUGAGUUGAGCAUACAGUUCCUCUCUCUGAGCGCCAGUACCAACGACUAAAACCGGAGUUUUUGAGCUGCAAAAAGUUCUCUGCCAUCCAUGACUAGAUAUCUAAAAUACACUUAAUAAGAGUAACAAAAAGGGUUUCAUAAACAAGCAAAAUAUGCUGGAAUAAUUUCAUAAUUUGAACAAAAUAUUUUGGUCUAAAGCUGCCAUAGUUUCCCAACUUAUCUUCAUCCUUUCUUUUAUCAUAAAAAAAUUAUGAAAAAAUAUGUAUUUUGUAUUUUAACUUGUGCUGUACACACAAUAUUUGCCAAAUGCUCUACUUACUUAAAUUCACAGGGUGUAACCUGACACUUAACUCUUUUCUUAAUCAGAUGGUGCUUUUAUUUAUUUGUUGUUUUUUUAUUAAUUCAGACACUGUUUGAGUUUUAAGAUUAUUUUUAUAACUCAUAGAUCUGUUGCCUCUAUUGUGUUGCUGUCUAAAUGCUGCUGUUGUUGACGAUGGUGGACUUUUGUGCAGAUGAUAAAUACCAUUUAUUUAUCCUUUCUAUCGCCACUCAAAC